rnacentral:rRNA from 1 species
GACGAACGCUGGCGGCGUGCCUAAUACAUGCAAGUCGAGCGGAUGAUGAGGAGCUUGCUCCUCUGAUUCAGCGGCGGACGGGUGAGUAACACGUGGGCAACCUGCCUGUAAGACUGGGAUAACUUCGGGAAACCGGAGCUAAUACCGGAUAACUCUUCGGACCACAUGAUCUGAAGAUAAAAGAUGGCGUCUAGCUAUCACUUACAGAUGGGCCCGCGGCGCAUUAGCUAGUUGGUGAGGUAACGGCUCACCAAGGCGACGAUGCGUAGCCGACCUGAGAGGGUGAUCGGCCACACUGGGACUGAGACACGGCCCAGACUCCUACGGGAGGCAGCAGUAGGGAAUCUUCCGCAAUGGACGAAAGUCUGACGGAGCAACGCCGCGUGAGCGAUGAAGGCCUUCGGGUCGUAAAGCUCUGUUGUUAGGGAAGAACAAGUACCAGUUAACUGCUGGUACCUUGACGGUACCUAACCAGAAAGCCACGGCUAACUACGUGCCAGCCGCCGCAGUAAUAC